UAAUACAGAGGGGGCAAGCGUUGUUCGGAAUUACUGGGCGUAAAGGGCGCGUAGGCGGCCUUCUAAGUCGAACGUGAAAUCCCCGGGCUCAACCCGGGAACUGCGUCCGAGACUGGAAGGCUCGAAUCCGGGAGAGGGAUGUGGAAUUCCAGGUGUAGCGGUGAAAUGCGUAGAUAUCUGGAGGAACAUCGGUGGCGAAGGCGGCAUCCUGGACCGGUAUUGACGCUGAGGCGCGAAAGCCAGGGGAGCAAACGGGAUUAGAUACCCCGGUAGUCCUGGCCCUAAACGAUGAAUGCUUGGUGUGGCGGGUAUCGAUCCCUGCCGUGCCGAAGCUAACGCAUUAAGCAUUCCGCCUGGGGAGUACGGUCGCAAGGCU
rnacentral:rRNA from 1 species